rnacentral:rRNA from 1 species
AGUGAACGCUGGCGGUAUGCCUAACACAUGCAAGUCGAACGGCGGCACAAUGAGAUCGUGCUCUUACGGUGAGCUGGUAGCGGACGAGUGAGGCGUACAUCAGCAUCUACUUUUUCGUGGAUGAUAACUUAGAGAAACUUACACUACUACCUCAUACUGCCUGCGGGUUGAAACAUAGUAUCUUCGGACCUUUCGCGCAUUAAUGAGCGGAUGUCGGAUUAGCUAGUUGGUGGGGUAAAGGCCCACCAAGGCGACGAUCCGUAGCUGGCCUGAGAGGAUGGUCGGCCACACUGGAACUGAGACACGGUCCAGACUCCUACGGGAGGCAGCAGUGGGGAAUAUUGGACAAUGGGGGAAAGCCUGACGAAGAAAGCCGGGGUAGGUGAAGAAGGCCUCCGGGUUGUAAGCUCUUUUUGUUGGGAAAGACAAGCAGCAGGUUAAAAAGUCGAUGCUGUGACGGUACCUAAAGAAAAAGCAACGGCUAACUACGUG